rnacentral:lncRNA from 1 species
AACACGCCUGCACCCGGCUAAUUUUCUGUUUGUUUUUAGUAGAGACGGGGUUUCACCAUGCUGGCCAGGCUGGUCUUGAACUCCUGACCUCAAGUGAUCCGCUUGCCUCAGCCUCCCAAAGUGCUGGGAUUACAAGUGUGAGCCACCACGCCCAGCUGCCCCCUCUAUUCUGACUUCAGCUGAGCUCUUUCUCCCCAGCUGGGUUGCCUCUAAGACAUCUCGUUGUGACUGCCCCACACACCCCCUCAAGUUCAGCAAACACCAAAAGGAACUGAUGACCUACCUCCAGUCCCAAAUGUCUUGUGCUCUACUAUCUUCUUAGUUGCUGAAGUCAGAAACUAGUAUCCUUCUCCCCACACUGCUUUGUUUCCAGAGCUCCCCAUGUUACUUGUGCCUCCCACGUGGUUCUCCAAUGAGUCCACGUCUCUCCGUCACUGUUCUGAGGUCAGACAAUUGCCAGCGCUUGCCAGGAGAAUAUCAACAGCCCCCUGACUGCUCCCCUGCCUCUGGCACCUCACCUGCCGUCCACUUUCUACAUGGCACCCAGUGACUUCCUAAAGUGAACAUCUGACCACUUCAUUCCUUUGCUUAAAUCUUCUCUUUGCCCGUUAACCCCAGAAAAAGACCAAACUCUUUAACAUGGCUUACAAGAUUUGUCAGGAUCUGGUCACUGAUUAUCUUUUGCCAAACUCUUCUCCCCCAACCCCCUUGCAACCUCCACUCUGCCCAAGUUUUUUGCUCCAGCCACUUAAAAUGACCUUCACAGGCCGGGCGCAGUGGCUCACACCUGUAAUCCCAGCACUUUGGGAGGCCGAGGUGGGUGAAUCAUGAGGUCAGGAGUUUGAGACCAGCCUAGCCAAGAUGGUGAAACCCCGUCUCUACUAAAAAUACAAAACGCAGCCGGGUGUGGUGGCACAUGCCUGUAGUCCCAGCUACUCGGGAGGCUGAGGCAGGAG